rnacentral:lncRNA from 1 species
GUUCCACUGCCUGCCUCGCAAUCCCAAGGUCCUGAAUUCAAUCCUCAUACUAAAAAAUAAAUAAAUAAGGGCUGGGGAUGUGGCUCAGCACGCAGGAGCACUUGCCUAGUGUGCACCAAGGCCCUGGAUUCAAUCCCCAGAACCACAUUUUUAAAAAAAGUCUUUGAAAGACAUAGUAAGAUUGAGAAAAGCAGCCCAUGUGAAUUCAAGGACAACAUUGCCUAUGAUAUCUGCCACCAUCCUGACAUACAGCUUUUGUGCCAGUGGCUCUAGCCAUGCGAGAGUGGCUGAGACAGUGUGGCUGGUCUGAAAAGAUGCUGAAGAAAGAAGAAGCAAUUCCAUGGCCUGGAACUUUAGCAAUUGUUCAUUCCUAUAUUGCCUACAAAGCAGCUAAAGAAGAAGAGAAACAAAAGUUACUUAAAUGGAGUUCAGAUUUAAAACAAGAGCGAGAACAGUUAGAGCAGAAGGUGAAACAGCUCAGCAGUUCUAUAAGUAAAUGCAUGGAAAUGAAGAACACCAUCCUAGCCCGGCAGAAGGAGAUGCACAGCUCCUUGGAGAAAGUAAAACAGCUAAUCCGCCUCAUCCACGGCAUCGACCUCUCCAAACCUGUAGACUCUGAGGCCACUGUGGGGGCCAUCUCCAAUGGCCCGGACUGCACGCCCCCUGCCAGCGCCACCGCCUCCACACACCGCCCCGUCCCCGUCCUCCCAGAGCUGCACAGCGAACUGUAACCCAGGGGAAGAGACUAAAUAACAGACCCCUCGAGAAGAAGCCACGGGAUCCCGCGGCAAGGAGAGUGAACGAAACACUGAAGACUCUAGAAAAGCAAAGCCGGAUCGCUUCUGGAAAGUACAGAAUUCUUUUGGUUCUUUGGUUCCAGAGAGAGAAGAUGCUUGUGCCAGGUGGCACCCGAGUUUGCCAAUUGAUCCUUCUUAUUCUGUGUGUACAUGCAAAGAUUGGACCAUGUUACAUGAAAUAGUGCCAGCUGGAGGUUCUUUGCCAGCACCAUGCCAAGUGAAAUAAUAUAUUUACUCUCUCUAUUAUACACCAGUGUGUGCCUGCAGCAGCCUCCACAGCCACGAUGGGUUUGUUUUUGUUUUGUUGGGUGGGGAGCAGGGACGGGCGGAGGGAGGAGAGCAGGUUUCAGAUCCUUAUUUGCCGAGCCGUUUGUCUAGGUAGAGAAGACAAGUCCAAAGAGUGUGUGGGCUUUCCUGUUUCUAAACUUUCACUACUAUCAAACCAAAAAAAGGAAAAAAAAAGAAAUCGAGAUUUAACCAACCCCAGUGCCCAGAAGAGGGGCAGGGCGGGGCCGGGCCGGGCGGGAUCUUGGGUGGGAAAUAUAUCCCUAAGCAGUAUUCUGUUAUCAGGAGGGGCCAUUUCGAGAGGGACACCGGGAAGGCACCAGCUUCUCCUCCCCAGCUCCACUCUUGCCUGGUGCCCGCCACCUUCCAGGCCUCCCUCCGCCUCCCCUUCUCCCCUUCUUGGUGAGUCACGCACCCCCAGACCGCCAGCCCCUCAGUCCCUGGAAACCGAGGGCCAGCAGCCUUGCUGGCCUUGCCUGAGGCAGGGAAGAAGGGUGUGUGUGGUCCAGGAAGGAAAAAAGGUAAAUUGGUAAUUUUACUUGAAAAGAAGCUCCAUCCCUUUUCUAUAUUUAUGAGAAGAGAAGGCCCUGAGCAAAGCAGCGCGUGACCCAGGUAAGUGUGUGAACUGAAUGGAGAUGCUUCUUUCCCCUUUUUUUUUUUUUUCAAUUUUUGUUUUUCUUUUUUUUCUUUUAAAGAAAGUUUUAUUUUGUUGUUUAUUUUACUUUUUUGGUAACAAAAACUAAACUAAGGAAUAGAAAAGCUGUUUUCAGGCUGACAGUCCAGUUAAGGGUAGUCAAGACCUUGCAUGGUAGAAUAGGAAUCAUAGUGUCAGUGAGGUCAGUGAGUCUUUGUGAGUCCUGUGUCAUCGUUUGGGCACUGUUUUUUUAUGCAAGGGCAAAAAUCUUUGUAUCUGGGGAAAAACAACAACAACUUUUUUUAAAUUAAAAAGGAA